rnacentral:rRNA from 1 species
AGUGAACGCUGGCGGUAGGCCUAACACAUGCAAGUCGAACGGCAGCACAGUAAGAGCUUGCUCUUACGGGUGGCGAGUGGCGGACGGGUGAGGAAUACAUCGGAAUCUACUUUUUCGUGGGGGAUAACGUAGGGAAACUUACGCUAAUACCGCAUACGACCUACGGGUGAAAGCAGGGGAUCUUCGGACCUUGCGCGAUUGAAUGAGCCGAUGUCGGAUUAGCUAGUUGGCGGGGUAAAGGCCCACCAAGGCGACGAUCCGUAGCUGGUCUGAGAGGAUGACAACCACAAUUGGAACUGAGCAACGGUCCAGAUCCCUAGGGGAGGCAGGAGGGGGAAAUAUGGGAAAAGGGGGGAAACCCUGAUCCAGCCAAACCGCGGGGGUGAAGAAGGCCUUCGGGUUGUAAACCCCUUUUGUUGGGAAAAAAAAGCAGCAGGUUAAAACCCCGCUGUUCUGACGGUACCAAAAGAAUAAGCACCGGCUAACUGCGU